UAGGAGUCGCUGCUGCUCCUGCUGCCGCUCGCCGUCGCCGUUCAGACAAGCAGCGAAUAACGCGCGACAGUCUUCUUCUGUUCGCUGCGAUGUAGACGCCACCUUCCUUCUUCACUCUCUUCGUGGAGACCUUUUUAUUAAGGCGCCCACUCAAAUCCAACAGACAAAGCGUGGGCGACCAUGGACAACUUGACAGACAGCUUAGAUCGAAGAUAACAAGAAGAAUCGUUAAGGUUGAGUCACACUUUGCAAAACCACCCACGAAAAAUAAAUAAGAAAUAAAAAAGAUGGAAAAAAUUAGGAUUAAUAAAAAUUUGUAUGAUUAAGGCUAAGUUAGGUGUAGAUUAAGGUUAAGUUAGGUGUGGAUUAAGGUUAAGUUAGUAAAAAUGAAGACUGAUUAGUUAAGAAAAUUAAUAAAAAAAAUUAUAAAUUUUGAUACGGUGCCAUAUAAAAUUUAAAAUCGAUUAAGUUAAGGUAGCUUUUAAGUUUUUGAAAUAGUAUCUAGAUUAAGUGAUUAAUUUGGUAGAUAAAGAAAAAGUCAAUCAUUUUUGACGUUUGAAUUUAAUGCGUGUCUCGAUAGAUAAGAAAAAAUGUUUUGAUGGACACAAAAUUU